ACAAGUCAGAACCACUAUUUGAUGUCUCAGUUUGAUAUUGAAUCUUUGUUAUAUUUCGAUAAAUUACUUGUGAAUGGGACUUAUAAAGGAUGAACAGUAUAUAGUAUUCUCACACAGUUCAAUUAGAUAGAUAAUUAAUACGCCGUGAAUUUUAGAAAAGGGAACCAUGGUUUUAUACUGUUGGCCAAAGCAAUGUCUAAACCACUUUCCCAUUACCUCUGGAGUCUACACCACUCUCUGUUGGCUUCAAAGUUCUUCACUUUCCCAAUGAGUCUCUGAUUUUUCACUUUCCCAAUUCAUAAAGCCUGGUUCUUUGAGCACCCUUUAAUCGAUUUCUUGUAAAAAUGAGGUCUUCCACUCGGCUCGACUCUGCUCUGUUCCAACUCACACCCACUCGGAUUAGGUAAAUCUUUUGCUUUUCUCAAAUGGGUGCCAUUGCUUAUUGUUUGUUGAUGAAGAUUGGAUUUGGGUUUUUUUGGGUUAUGAGCUUAUGAGCAAUGUCUUGGUUGGAAAUGCAUUUUUGUUUCUUUAGUGAUCUGAGUGUUGUUGUUUUUUUCUUUUCUUUUGGGAUUUGAUGUUUUUGGGUUGUAUUAGUCUGUGUGAUUCUUUCAUUGUUUGGUAGUAUUUGUUGAUAUCUAGUGUGUCUGUUUUCUUUACAUGUUUGCGCCUGACCACUGAUUUGUGUUGUUUUCCCUCGAUCUGCUUUUUCGACACACUUUAUGCUGAUAGCUCUGGUGGCACCAGAUUCUGCCUCUUUCAGGUGGCAACAGCCCCUACCUUUCCCUACCAUAUUUACCAAAACCCAUUUUUCUUCUAUGCAUUUUUGCUUUUCGCAUCUGUAUGAAGUAAAAAGGCUGGGUAUUGGGGUGUGAGAGGGGAUUAACGAGGAAGCUUUAGAGAGCUUACUAGUUUCAGGACAUGAGAUCAACUGAAAGUUUCACUGUUCUUGUAGCUUCCUUCAUCUUUAGUUUAUUUUUUCAUAUAUAGGGAGGCAAAGAUUCCAUCAACUAGAUUUGAUACUGUGAUUUUUUUUUCAUUUGCGUUUCUACUUUGGAAGACUAUGAUUAUCUUUCUUUUUUGUUAGUAAUUUUACCAUUGGAUAUUGACACCCCGAGUUAAUUAUUUUUGACAGGAAAUAUGCCAGUGCUAGAUACUAAUGAAGAGAACAGUUCUUUAUGAGAUGAGAUAUUAUAUCCUCAUUAUAAUCUUAUUUAUAUAUUUAGUUUGAUUAAUGUCUUUUAUAUUUAGUUUGAUUAAUGUCUUAUAUUUAGUUUGAUUAAUGUCUUUUAUAUUUUCAUGUCAUGUGUAGUCUUUAAUCAGUGAUUGCUGUAAUCUAAUUUGGUUUAGUUUUUCCAUAUAACUAGUUGAGAUUUUUGUGGGUGCUAAUUGUUUUUUUAUAUCUGAUGUUAUUGUAGUGUUCAGCUUCUAAAAGUUCUAGAGAUGCGCAAAAAAAUGCUGCAGAAAGAGCAUGGCUUUUACUCGUGCUGUAGCAGUAGGUUUUGAUGUUGAUCAUUUGCCACCAUUAAUAUCAUUUGCUGAAUGCUUUGGGGCUUCAUGCUUGAUGUGAGUAGAACUUCCUUCUUCUGUCCGUUUAAAUAUAUACUUUUUAAGAGAAAUAUAAUUUCUUUGAUAUAUAUAAGGCGUAUAUCAACAUGUGGCAGAAUAUGUGCUUCAAGUCUUUACUCGAUUUUAAAAUUUCAAUGUCACAGGGAUGUUUGUAGAAGAUAUAAGGAACUGUGGAAACGACAGCAUGAGACUGGCCAAUGGCUUGAAAUUGAAGCAGCUAAAGCAUGUCUAACCGAGCAGACUUCUCUGCCAUGAAUGCAUCGGGCAUAGUGCUUUUAAAUAUGACAUUGGCAGAGAAUAAUGGAAAAGCUACUUAUGCAGGUUCUACAAGGUCGUAGAAAAUAAGACUGGUCUGGUUUCAAGUUCGCUCUAGCAGCUUUGCGAUGGAAUGAUUUUUAAUCACGACCUGCCUGGAUGUGUUGAUUGCUCGUUUCAGCAUAUGAAGUGAAAAAUUCUAUGUGAACUCUGAAGGCAAGUGAUUGGCAUCUUGAAGGAGCUAGGAGCAUUUAAUAUAUUCUACAGCCAAGCCACGGGAGGAGAAGAAAAAACAAAUAUCCAAGCUCUAGAGUACAUUACAAAUUAUUUUGCUAGUCAGCUUCAAUAGGUAGGUCUCAUGGAACAAUUAAUGAGUAUUGUAGAUGUAUUUUGAUGGCUGUAAUGACAUUGGAGUUUCCAAAAUGAAUGAGAACAUCAAUGAAUGACGAGCAAACUUAUAUGUGU